rnacentral:rRNA from 1 species
AGGACGAACGCUGGCGGCAGGCCUAACACAUGCAAGUCGAGCGCCCGUAGCAAUACGGGAGCGGCAGACGGGAUAGUAACACGUGGGAACGCGCCCUUCGGUUCGGAAUAACUCAGGGAAACUUGAGCUAAUACCGGAUACGCCCUUACGGGGAAAGAUUUAUUGCCGAAGGAACGGCCCGCGUCCGAUUAGCUAGUUGGUGAGGUAAUGGCUCACCAAGGCGACGAUCGGUAGCUGGUCUGAGAGGAUGACCAGCAUCACUGGGACUGAGACACGGCCCAGACUCCUACGGGAGGCAGCAGUGGGGAAUAUUGGACAAUGGGCGCAAGCCUGAUCCAGCCAUGCCGCGUGGAUGAUGAAGGCCUUAGGGUUGUAAAGUCCUUUUAACGGGGAGAUAAUGACGGUACCGUAGAAUAAGCCCGGCUAACUUCGUGCCAGCAGCCGC